rnacentral:rRNA from 1 species
UACGUAGGUGGCAAGCGUUGUUCAGGGUUACUAGGUGUAAAGGAUGUGUAGGUGAGAAGGUAAGUCGUAAGUGAAAAUUUCAAGCUUAACUUGAAAAGGUCUUGCGAAACUAUCUUUUUUGAGUGUGGGAGAGGGAACUGGAAUUCCGGGUGUAGCGGUGAAAUGCGUAGAGAUCCGGAGGAACACCAAUGGCGAAGGCAGGUUCCUGGCCCAACACUGACACUGAGGCAUGAAAGCUAGGGGAG